rnacentral:lncRNA from 1 species
CUCAGCCCAUGGGGCAGAGCCAGGAUUUGAACCCAGUAUUUCUACUCCAAGGCUAAGGUUCUGUGGCCCAGCUUCCAAGAAGGUGGCAGGCCAGCAUGCCCACCUGCACCAAGUGGUCUCGGGUGGAUAGCCAUGGGAACUGGACAGGAAUCUGGGUGUGCCUGGGCAUGGCGCGGUGGGGGGAAGAGGGAGAGUCAGAAAGAAUGCCUGACCUGUGGACACGGACAUGGCUGGAGACCUUCACACCAACCCUGAGGGAGGACAGACAGAAAGGGCAAAGGAGGAGCCCAACAUCCUGGGUUGGAGUUUGGAUGCAGCCCCAGCUGUGUGACCCCGGGGCCAAUCCCAAUCCAUCUCUGAACCCCACCCGCUGCAGAGGGCUUCCCCCCACAACAUCCAAAGAGUGUCUUUGAGGGGCUGGAGCAGAAACAUUGCCUCUCAGAUCCAAGACCCUGUUUGGGGUGGCACAAGCCUUCUGAGGAAAUGCAGGCACAGAGGAAGACAUUCAUUCUUUCAAAAUCAUUUGUUCAACCAAUGCAGCGGCCUACUACGAGUGUGACAUAGUUCUAGGUGCUGGAGUUCAGCGGGAGCCAGGAGCCCAGUCCACGUGUCGGUCCGUGCGGAGGAGCCCGUUCGCUCCUCGCUGGCCGAGGGCUGGAGGACCUGGACAUCGGGGACCGCAGCGUCUCCUCACCAGACUCCCUGUCUGCACACGAUGUCCACUCCCCUGCAUUCUCAGAUAGCCCCUAUUCUCAGAUGGCCUCAAUGAGGACAGAAUGAGGAAGGGUCCAAUGAAGACUAGGGUCCUGGCGUGAGCGCAAAUCGUCGUCCUGAGCGCUUAGAACGCCUGGGUUUGGGACUGGAAGGUUGCGUUUGGGGAGUACGGACAGCUAGGCCACCCCCUGCCGAAUAGACCCUCCCCUACCCCUGCCCGGGGGCGGAGUAGGGGAGAGGGGCCUGUAGAGGGGCUGGCCCUUUA